rnacentral:rRNA from 1 species
GGAGCAAAUACCCCAAAACGACAGUCUUAGUUCGGAUUGUAGGCUGCAACCCGCCCUACAUGAAGUCGGAAUUGCUAGUAAUCGCGGAUCAGCAUGCCGCGGUGAAUACGUUCCCGGGCCUUGUACACACCGCCCGUCACACCAUGGGAGUUGGUAACACCCGAAGUCAGUAGCCUAACCGCAAGGAGGGCGCUGCCGAAGGUGGGAUCGAUGACUGGGGUGAAGUCGUAACAAGGUACC